rnacentral:rRNA from 1 species
CCGUGUUCUGCUUGUAAAACAAGAACGAAAGUUAGGGGAUCGAAGACGAUCAG